ensembl:lncRNA
AUGCAAUGGAAAUGUAAGUACUGUUUUUUUUCCUGUGAAAAGAGAGCUCUCCUAUUGAAGCAUUAUCGCAUUAAACAUGGAAGCUACGCCAGAACUACACCAUUUCCAUGCCUUCAUGCAGACUGUUUGUGUUCUUUCAAGUCAUUUAAUGCAUUGAAGGUGCACUUAACAAGAAGUCAUUCCCAACACGAUGGAGAACAAACAAGUGUAUCAAAAGAAUCUCAAUUAAUAUUUCACUGUCCACUCUGCGAAUUUAAGGAACCUUGUACAGAAUCUGAGUUUUUCACCCACUUGCGUCAGCAUUUAAAAAGGAAUGAAAAGGUUCAGUGCCCAUUCAAUGACUGCAAUUUUGAGAGCAGGAUUUAUUCUACAUUUAAUGCUCACAAAUGUAAGGAACACCAAUUAAGCAGUCAGAGGAAGUUAAAACCCAGCAUUGCAGUUGAAAUUCAAAAUUUAGCUGCAGAAUUACCACAAGAUGUUGCUCAAAAUACGUCUUACCAUGAGUCAAUGGAUUCUACUGAAUUUGGCGAAAAUGAAAAAGACGACCAGACUCAAAAUCUGGAUCAUUUGCAGAAUCAACUAGAACGUAAUUUAGGCUUGCUCUUUCUUAAGAUGCAAACCAUUCUGCAUAUCUCCGAUUCAGCAGUACAGGAAGUAAUUCAACAAAUCAACCAGAUCUUUCUUCUGUCAAAGCCCCUUUUGUGUAAUGCCAUACAGCAGAUUCUAGAUCAACAUGGAGUCAGUGAUAAUUCUUCUGUUUUGAGAGACAUUGUGAAAGCUGUCACAGAAAAUAAUUUGAUCUUGAAAAUGACUGAUUCUGGUGAGCCUCUCUCUACAGUCGGUAAAAGAGCAUCAUAUUUUCAGAAAGAGUUUCCAAUUGUUGUACCAACAGAAUAUAAACUUGGGAAAGACUCCCAAUCAUUUGCUUAUGUGCCAAUUCUAAAUAUGCUACAGGUGCUUUUAAACAGAACUGAUGUUUUUGAGAAAGUUCUUGCUCCUUUUGAAAAUGCAAAUGGGAUCAACUCUUACAAAGACAGCACUAACUAUCGUGAGAAUGAUUUUUUGGUGGCAGGGACAUUUAGGAUUUUGCUUACCAUGUACACUGAUGAAUUUGAGAUUGCUAAUCCUCUUGGCACUUCAAAAAAGAAACAC